rnacentral:rRNA from 1 species
CCUACGGGGUGCAGCAGUCGAGAAUCAUUCACAAUGGGGGAAACCCUGAUGGUGCGACGCCGCGUGGGGGAAUGAAGGUCUUCGGAUUGUAAACCCCUGUCAUGUGGGAGCAAAUUAAAAAGAUAGUACCACAAGAGGAAGAGACGGCUAACUCUGUGCCAGCAGCCGCGGUAAUACAGAGGUCUCAAGCGUUGUUCGGAAUCACUGGGCGUAAAGCGUGCGUAGGCUGUUUCGUAAGUCGUGUGUGAAAGGCGCGGGCUCAACCCGCGGACGGCACAUGAUACUGCGAGACUAGAGUAAGGGAGGGGGAACCGGAAUGCUCGGUGUAGCAGUGAAAUGCGUAGAUAUCGAGAGGAACACUCGUGGCGAAGGCGGGUUCCUGGACAUUAACUGACGCUGAGGCACGAAGGCCAGGGGAGCGAAAGGGAUUAGAUACCCGGGUAGUC